rnacentral:rRNA from 1 species
AUGGGGUGCUUGGACCUGAACAAGACCUUCUGCGACGACCUGAGUGCUCUCAUAGGACGCUAUUGGUGGAGCCAAAUGGACAAGACCAAUAAAAUCCACUGGAUUAGUUGGGAAAAGCUACCAAAGCCGAAAACAGAUGGAGGUUUGGGUUUUCGGAAUCUGCACUAUUUCAAUCUAGCUAUGUUGGCUAGACAAGCAUGGAGAAUCCUACAGAACCCCCAUUCCUUGUGCUCCCAAGUGCUGGCUGCCAGAUAUUUCCCAAAUGGAUCAAUGCUUGAGGCUAUUCCUUGUGCAGGUAUUUCCUAUACUUGGCGAAGCAUAAUAAAAGGCAUACAAUGGCUGAAGAAAGGGAUAAUAUGGAGAGUGGGAAACGGGGAAAGGAUCAAAAUAUGGACUGGUCCAUGGAUUCCUAGAGGAAGCACAAGGAGGCCCAAUACACCAAAAGGUAACCAUCUGGUGGACAAAGUAGCUGAUUUGAUCAACCCGAUAACAACCCAAUGGGAUAUGCAGCUAGUACAACAGACCUUCUCGGCUAAGGAUGCAAACCUCGUCAUGCGAAUACCCAUUCAAGAAGAUACAGAAGGGGAAAUCUCAAACUUCAAAUGGAAGUUGUGGGCGAUCCCUCUACCAAACAAAGUACUGCACUUCUUAUGGAGAGUUGCAACGUACAACCUUCCCAUGCGAAUGAAACUUCAUGGAAAA